rnacentral:rRNA from 1 species
UUCGGUUGCCCGAGUUGUAAUCUAGAGAAGUGUUUUCCGCGUUGGCCCAUGUACAAGUCCCUUGGAACAGGGCGUCAUAGAGGGUGAGAAUCCCGUCCUUGACAUGGACCCCCAAUGCUUUGUGAUACACUUUCAACGAGUCGAGUUGUUUGGGAAUGCAGCUCAAAAUGGGUGGUGAAUUCCAUCUAAAGCUAAAUAUUGGCGAGAGACCGAUAGCGAACAAGUACCGUGAGGGAAAGAUGAAAAGCACUUUGGAAAGAGAGUUAAACAGUACGUGAAAUUGUUGAAAGGGAAACGAUUGAAGUCAGUCAUGCUCUUUGGAUUAAGCCGUUCUGCGGUGUAUUUCAUUGAGCGGGGUCAACAUCAGUUUUGAUCGCUGGAAAAGGGCAGGAGGAAGGUAGCACUCUCGGGUGAACUUAUAGCCUCUUGUCGUAUACAGUGAUUGGGACUGAGGAACGCAGCAUGCCUUUUGGCCGGGAUUCGUCCACGUACAUGCUUAGGAUGUUGACAUAAUGGCUUUAAACGACCCGUCUUGAAACACGGAC